GCCCGAACUAGAGACAAGGGAAACGCGGCUGAGUCCGUGAAUGAGUCGAGGGAGUGAAUGGAACUGCAGCUGAGCCCAAGACCAGACCAAGGACGGAACGAACGAAAGAACCUAAGAAAGAGAAGAAAGACAGACAGACAGGCAAACGCUGUGAGUGAGUGAUUGAGUGAGGGAGUGAGGAACGAGCGACGACAUUAGGAGGGACUUUGAAUCAAAUGGAAGAAGUGGUUGAAACAAUCAAUUCCACCACUUAGUUAGUCAACUAACCAGCCAAACAGACACCCAGCCAGCCAGCCAGCCAGCCAGCCAGCCAAGGUGGAUCGAACGAACUAACGAACGAUCAAUGAACUGACCAACUAACCAACCAACCAACUAAUCUUUCCACGACGGAAUCCGAGUGACUUCUCGAUCCAGAUUAGUUCCAAGCGGUUCAGGUGGUUCAAGCGGAUCGACGACUCAAUCAAACUGAGGCUAUCCUCGAUCCUCGAUCCUCGAUCCUCGAUCCUUUCAUCCUCUCAAACCUCCUCCUGUGCCGCGUGUCUCAGCGGCUUUGUCGUCGUGCCCGACCCAGCAGACAGAUUACUAUAUAGCAUAAAUACCAGUGGGCUAGCGCAUUCCCCUGGGCGUGGUGAGCCAGUCGCCAAACUGGACCGUCAUUCAUUCAUUGUUUCAGCCAGCCAUUGAAGAGCUCACUUGGUGUUUUGGCUCUUGAGUCGAGCACUCAUCCACCCAUCCGCCCAUUCGUCAGGCGAAUCCCGUGGAUUUUGACCCACCUUUUUAUUUCCUGAUUGUCUGUCCCAGUGAGUCCAGCCAAGCCAACAAGCCAGGCCAAGCCAGGCCAGGCGGGUGGGCCCCAUGUCGUCGGACGACGAGGAUUAUCUGUACGACGACGAUUCGGAUGACUCGGGCAAUGAGUCGACCGUCAACCAGGAUGAGGAUGACGACAAUGAUGAUUUUGGCAUGGACAUUGGGCUGGGUGAAGAAGCUAGCGGCUCCGGCGGCGGGGGCGGUGGUGGUCUCAUGAUGAUGGUGUCCGGCGCCGACAAGAAGGGAUCCGAUCAUGCCCACCCCUAUGAAGUGCUCUCGACCGAACAGAUCGUGGAACACAUGGUGGAUUGUAUCAAGGAGGUCAACUCGGUCAUCCAGAUUCCCACCACCACGGUGCGGAUAUUGCUCAAUCACUUCAAAUGGGACAAGGAGAAACUCAUGGAACGAUACUUCUCGGAUAGCCAGGAACAGAUGUUUGCCGAGGCGAAGGUGGUCCCACCUUAUAAAUUGGGGGCCAAGGCCAUGGUGGCCCCCGACCUGGGGGGCCGAGGGGUCAGCCUUUCGGCCAAAUCCACCCUGGAAUGCGAGAUUUGUUACUUGACUUUGCCCAAAUCGCUUACCACCGCGCUCGAAUGUGGCCAUCCAUACUGUAAUUCUUGCUGGACAGAGUACAUCACAUCCAAAAUUAUGAACGAAGGUGCCAGUCAAUCUAUCGAGUGUCCUGGCAAUUGCGACAUCCUGGUGGACGAUGUGACAGUGAUGAAAUUAGUGAAAGAUUCGAAAGUCAAGCUCAAAUAUCAGCACCUCAUCACCAACAGUUUCGUGGACUGCAAUCGACUCAUGCGCUGGUGCCCGGCUCCGGAUUGCCCGAAUGCCGUUAAAGUCCAAUUUGUCGAGUCCAGACCCGUGAAAUGUCGAUGUAGUCAUUUGUUUUGUUUCGCUUGCUCGGAAAAUUGGCAUGACCCAGUCCGGUGUGUCCUCAUCAAGCGAUGGAUUAAAAAGUGUGACGAUGAUUCGGAGACUUCGAAUUGGAUUUCGGCCAACACCAAGGAGUGCCCCAAGUGUAAGGCCACCAUUGAAAAAGACGGGGGCUGUAACCAUAUGAUAUGCCGUAACCAAUCGUGCCGAGCCGACUUCUGCUGGGUGUGCUUGGGUCCAUGGGAACCUCAUGGGAGUUCUUGGUACAACUGCAAUCGCUACGACGAGGACGAAGCCAAAAACGCACGCGAUAGUCAAGAGAAAUCUCGAGCCGCACUACAACGCUACUUGUUCUAUUGUAACCGUUACAUGAACCAUCUACAGUCGUUGAAAUUCGAAAAUAACCUCUAUAGUAUGGUGAAGGACAAAAUGGACGAGAUGCAACAACAUAACAUGUCAUGGAUUGAAGUCCAGUUCCUAAAAAAGGCAGUAGAUAUUUUGUGUGAAUGUCGACGAACCCUGAUGUACACCUAUGUUUUCGCUUAUUACCUGAAGAGAAAUAAUCAGAGCGAAUUGUUCGAAUCUUUCAAUUUAGGCCAACCAAAAAGAUUUGGAAAACUCUACUGAACAUCUAUCCGAAUAUUUGGAGAGAGACAUUUCUGCCGAAAAUCUGGUAGAUAUCAAGCAAAAAGUCCAAGAUAAAUUCAGAUACUGCGAUAGCCGACGACGAGUGCUUUUGGACCAUGUUCAUGAGGGCUAUGACAGGGACUGGUGGGUUUACACUUCAGAUGACAUAACAUCAUGAAUUUCUUACGCUCUCGAAUCCUGACAAGACCUCCCAAAUGAUUGACGAGAGUGAGGCGGUGCCAGGAGAAAUUACAUCAAAUUUGCCUUAUUCAAGAUAUCUUCCUACAGCAAAAAUCACUUCUGAUUAGAGACGUGCUAAUCUGACCCUCUCGCAAGUCACUUGAGUUCAUCUGAGGAAUCGAAAGAUCAACCACAAUUCAGUUCUAUGUCAGACGCCCCCACCCCAACAAGUUGAACCAGAAAAUAAAGUGUGAUAUUUCUCGA